rnacentral:lncRNA from 1 species
GCUAUCAUUUAUUAAAAAGCACACAAUUUUCUAAAUAUUUCACAUGAUUUCUCGUUCCAAAUCUACUGUUAAUCAGUGGGGUGGGAUUCAAAAUAAUCUGUUUCCUGUUUUUGCUGGGAUGAUUUAUAGUCCCUGGUCAUGUGAGUUGCAGGGAAUAUGCAAACUGGAAUUUGAGGCAAGGAUGGUAUAAUACAUUUCAGGAUACACCUUGACAGAGGCAUUAAUUCACUGCAGGUUCACUCCACAUGGAAUCUCUGUACUUUUAUGACAUGUACAGUUGGUUGUAAUGCCAUACUGGGUAUCAUGUAUAACAUCAAAGAGCUAAUCAGGUGACAGUGGUGAAUGAUGCACAGAAUUCCAGAAAAAGAACGGAAGAGUGGGUAUCCAAAGGGCCCUUGAAUUCAGUGUGAGUAUACAGAACUUGACUCUAGUCCCAAUUUUCAAUAAUUUCAUUAGAAAAUAAUUGUAUAAAUCUCCUGGUGAACUUUUCUUGAUACAGGUCUUGUCCAUUCCUGAAGAUACCAUCAAGAUGCUGAAAAUCUGUGGCACAGCUGAACCUUUUGUGUCUGUAAGAAAAUUCUGUAUUCAGACUGGAUGAAGGGCCCAGACCAAGAACUCUUCUGUUGAGGAAUUUUUCCAGAUGGCUUUUCCAGCAACUGUUUCCCAUGGCAAUUCCAGGCUGAUUCCUUGCAUUCUUCGGAGCAGCUUCUCACAGCCUCAUAAUGUCCCUGCUGCUUUGAGAUGUGUCACUGGAGGAGUCACCCUUCCCCUUUGCUCCAAUCCCAGCCCCCUCAUGUGUGUGACAUCUCUCUCGGAUUCUCCUUCUGCUAAAUCUUUCUGGUGCCAGACUCCAUGAUCCUGGUGGGUCCUUUCCAAUUUGGGAUAAUCCAUGACUCCACCAUUUGCUCUGCUCAGCCCUGUGAAACAAAAAUGUCCAAGCCACAACGAUGAAGGGAGGGAAUGAGCAGGUUUGUAGAGUUUCAUGGAGAUUUGUGGCCCCAAAAAAUGGCAUCCCAGAUCAGGGAAGGUAAAAUUGGGUUUAAUCACACCCAUUUAAUAAGAACCUUCAAAGCAUAAAUUUGCUG